CACACCUGAGACAGACAUCACCCCUGCCCCCACGCCCGUUAGCACAUCGAGAGCGUGGUCACCAUCUUAGCAUUCAGCACACACACACACACGCUCACACACAUGCCCCUGUGCGCACAUACACACAUGCUCACACAUGCCCCCCACCAUGUGUGCGCGCGCACACGCAACACACCCCUUCACGCACAUCACUCCCAGCUUCCUACACCCUCCCCUGAGGUUCCCUGUAAACCAGGAAGGUAGCCUCUGACCAGCAGAGAAAAAGAAAGAAAAGAGGAAGGGGGCUUUGGAGGAGAAUUUGGCCCUGGAGUUCCCUUAGUUCCAGCUCCAGUGACUCGUGGGGCGGGCUUGGCCACCUUCCUGCUCAAGAGGACCCUCCCCCCGGCCCCUCCAUCACCCCAUUAAGAAGACGGGGCCCUUGUUCCUGAGUUCUGCGGCAGAAAGGGAAGAAUCAAGGACUCUUCAAUAAGAGAGAGCUCCCUGGGUGGCUCUGAAUAGUUGCUUUUUGUGUGGCGGCGAGGGACGGUCCUCUGCUCGGCGCGCUCUGCCCUGGCUGCCUCGUUCUGUCGGCAGCCGCCACUCCUGGGUCUCCAGGUGACUGAGCUGGUUCCUCGGGAGCCUGGUCCUUCAUUGUUCCUCCCUUUCCCUCCCGACACCCUCUAGCCUAGCCAAGGCCACGGGUGCCUGUGCAUCUCAGGAAGGCAAGAGGAACACCGAGGUGAUUGUCAGAAGGCUGAGACCUAGGGAGGCUCCUGCCUUGUUCCAGAGGCUCCCCGCAUCCGGGUGCUGGGCCGGCCACCUCUGCCAAGCCCAGGGCCAGGCUCAGUGCCCAUGGAAGGGGCUGGACUGGAGGGAGGGCUGGCCCCGGCGGGGGUGACGGUGGGAAAGGAGGCAGACAAGCAAAUCCGUUUCAUCAGACGCUGCAUAUCUUAGGAAAGCACAUUUCAGCUCUUUUGGCUUUUGGCAAGCUGGUCCCAGCCUUUAAUUUUCUAAUAAAAAGGAAUUACGUUUGCUGAAAAGACAGUAACCAGUUCAUGCCAGUGUCUCUCCCAGAGACGGUAGUUCUGUUUUGGGUGCCUGCCGGGCCUGUUGGAUUAGGGGUGGAUGGUGGGCUUUUGUGGCCACAGGGAUCUCAGGGGAACAUUGUAGGGGCAGGUAGGACCUGUGCAUCCCAGGCUGCAGUGCCAACCCUACCCAGAGGCCCAGAGACCCACGGCAGUUGUUCAGUCGACCAGUCAUGUGCAACUCUUCGCCACCCCGUGGACUGCAGCACUCCAGUCCUCUCUGUCCCUCACCAAGUCCCAAAGUUUGCCCAAGCUCAUGUCCAUUGCAUCAGUGAUGCCAUCCAUCCAUCUCGUCCUCUGACGCCCUCUUCUUCUGCCCUCAGUCUUUCCCACGGCAGACAGGAAUAAAUACUUGUGAAUGAACCCUCACUACUGAGGCCUGGGCUGCUGGGUCAGACCUUUGCCCUGUGAGUCACUGCACGUGUACACACGCACUCCCCAGAGUCUGCGGUCACCUAUCUGAAAGGACUUGCCAGCUCCGCACCCCCCAAGCCCCUGGCACCGAUUCAUUGGAAGCUUUGCCAAAAAUCAUAUCCUUUAAAAAAAAAAAAAAAAACCAGCAUGCAUUCAUUGUUUGGGGAAAAAAAAAAAACAGAAGUGUGUGAACUUGGAAGUUUAUGUUCCCACAGCUCCAGGCCCGAGCUCCCCAGGGGGAUGGGGUCCACCCUCCCAUCACUGGAAAUUCUGUUUCUCAGUCCCCACUGGGGUUUCACUCCAUGUGACCCUGAGGGCCCCUCCACUGUCCACUGCCUGCCAUGUGGAUGGCUUUUCUGCUGUUAAAAAUACCUUCAUUCCUGUCCCAGUUUUAUUAUUUAAAAAACCUUUUUUAGAUUUAUUUAUUGGCUAUGCUGGGUAGUUUGUGGGAUCUUAGUUCCCCAACCAGGGACUGAACCCAGGCCGCUGCAUUGAAAGAGCCGAGUACUAACCACUGGACCACCUAGGAGGUCCUCAAGUCCCAGUUUUAAAGGAGCCCAGGUAGGUGGAACACAUGAUAAAUGCAGCCUUUGUGACUCGGAAGGACUCUGUACUCAGUUCCCUGCCCCAGGCAUUUCCUGUGCCCUUCUGGGUGCCAGGCCCCUGGCCCAGGACCCCAUGGUUCCAGAGGGGUGAGGAGGACCCUGAGCAGCGUCCAGGGGCCCAGUGUUCCCGCCCCUAGUGUGGAGGUGGCCCCCCUGCCCGCGUCCGCUCCGGGCACCAGGCCACUGCUCUUCAGCCGGCCGACUUGGGAGCCGCCUCGGGCUCAUCUGGUCGGGCCCUUGGGCCAAGAGGCACAGGAACGCCAGCACAGCGUCCCUGUCCUUGGCCUGCCUGCACCACAGUCCCCAGGGUAGCCCUUAGGUGCUGCUGCCAGCCAGGGCCCCAUCCGCUUGGCAGCACCCUGGCAGGGCACUGAGGCAUCCCGUGGGCAUAGGGGGUGGAAGGGAGAUGCAAGUGAGAAUGGCAGUGGGACCAGUCACCUGUGCCCCCUGCACAGUCCUAUACACAGUGCCUGAGAGGUGGCUCACUCAUGUCGUGAUGGCGCGGGUGGUCCUACGUGCUGCCAGGACCCACCCCUGCCCCUCACUGCCACCAACUUGCCCGAGGGAGACCCGGGCCGGUCAGGGUCGCAGGGGAUUGGGACCCACCUCCCUACACCUGGCCUCUGAGCCAAGCUGCCCCAUUCACCUAAGAUGGCCUGAGGGCAGGGUGCAGUGUGGUUUUCAUUCAUGAAUUUUUAAUUUUCGAAGGAAUGGUAGCUCUAACUAGAGAAGGAAAAAGCAAUAGAGGUGUAUCAGACAAUAGGUAAGGUCCGCCCUCUGCCGACAUCCUGGUUGGCAGACCAGUGGGUGGUGAUGGAGCACCAGGUGCCUCGCUGGUGCCACAGCCCCCACCUGCCACCCUUUGCUGCUCUCCAGACAGACAAACCUUGGCACAAAGUUGUGGGGGGGGACGCGCCUCCACAACGCGGCCCAUCUGGGAGCCAGCGUUAUUUUCUGAUUCAAGGAAACAUCUGUUCCUGCCUCUCCUUUCAGAGCGGGCAGGCAGCAGACCCAGGGCCCAGAGCCCCGCCUGCCCGCACUGGGCUGGGAGUGGGGAUUGGGGCCAAGCCCGGAGCCCUGUUCUCUGUCAGACUCCCACCCGCCACUGCCACCUCCAGGGACUCUGGGCCAGGUGCAACCGAGUCCUCCCCUCCGCCCCCCACCAAGAUGCCUGAGGCUGUCACUGCCUCCCAC
ensembl:lncRNA